AGCAUGUCAUCUAUCAAAUCGGACAGUGCCGCUCAACAAUUUGAUGAUUUAGACGAUCUCACAAAUAAGGAGCUCCCCGGUGGUCCUGAUCCUAAUACAAUCUUCCGUGGCUCAGAACUAGGAAACUACGAGCCAAAAGAGCCGGAAAUCCCAUCAAAUCAGCCCGGAGAGCACGGAAAACCUGUGCCAGUAACCGAUGAAGAAGGAAUGGCGGCAGGAAGAGCAGCGGAGAAGGAGUUCGGCUUCAAUACCUACGUCUCCGAUAUGAUCUCGAUGAAUCGAACUAUUCCGGAUAUCAGGCCGGAAGAGUGCAAGCAUUGGGAUUAUCCAGAAAAGCUGCCGACUGUUUCAGUGGUUGUUGUGUUCCACAAUGAGGGAUGGACUCCGUUGCUCCGAACUGUGCAUUCGGUGCUGCUCAGAUCCCCGCCAGAGUUGAUCGAGCAGGUUGUGAUGGUUGACGAUGAUUCUGACAAGCG
rnacentral:sRNA from 1 species